GAAAAACCAGUUUAAAAUUUCAACAGCAUCUGACCCAAACAGAGCCUGAGUUUACUUUACAUGCUUCCCAGAUAGAUUAUUUCCUGUUUUGCAACCCUUCAGUGCCAACCAACAAUGACGGGAAGGAUCUUACUUGCUGUCUAGACGAGUGUCUAACACUCUCAGACAUGGCUGUCUGCUCAGUCUCCUUUGCUCACACUGGUAAACAGAAGUGGAUUAGGUUGAAGGUGUGAAAAUGAAAGACAACCUUGAAUAGCUCCAACAGAAACCCUGGAGUAUGGCAGAGACAAAUUCAACUCUGGGCAGAAAGGUGCUCUGUCGUGUUGCUGUUCAUUUUCUCUAUUGCUUAAUUGGAUAAAGGGACUCAUUGGACCUCUGCAGUGACCCUUAUAACAAUGGAGGUGCAAUAACAUCCAUCAGCACUGGCAAAACAGCUCUUGCACUGCACUUACACACACAGCCAGUCUGCGCUGCCGCAUGGUCUGAGGCUGAUUUUGGUGCAAUGUAGAUGGUCGUGUUUCCAUCGCUCUUCGAGUGCAGAUUAAACAAACAGGUUACAGGGUGUUCAUCAAAAACAUUUAGAGGUGUUAGUAGGUAGUAGUAGGAUUUUUUAACUUUUGGACAGAGCCAGGCUAGCUGUUUCCCUCUGCUUCCAGUCAUUAUGCUAAGCUAGGCUAACCAUAUGCUGGCUCUAGCUCCAUAGAAACAUAAGGUUGAUGUAAGUAUUCUUAUCAUCUCUGUGAGCAAGCAAGUAUCUCCUAGAAUAUUCAACUAUUACUUUACUACGAAUGAAAAUAUAAAACUAAAGGUACACUGUGGAGUUUUUGACCACUAGUGGCGCUGCAGAUCAAGUCAUGAGGAUGUCCCUGUACUGUGUGUAUCUGUGUCUGUACAGUCUCUGAAUCUGUGCUGUGAGACUAUAGUAUACUUUCAUUCAGUGUAGUUUGGCAAUAAAGUUGUAUGAUUAUAUGUUGAAGCAGUAACAUUUGGCAGAUCCAUCGUACAUCCAACGAGAAAAGCAAAAGUAAACAUCAUCUGAAUGCCCUGA